UACAGAGGUCUCAACCGUUGUUCGGAUUCAUUGGGCGUAAAGGGUGCGUAGGCGGUCGCGCAAGUCGGAUGUGAAAUCUCAGGGCUCAACCCUGAAACUGCAUUCGAUACUGCGUGGCUAGAGUGCGGUAGGAGAGACUGGAAUUCCUGGUGUAGCGGUGAAAUGCGCAGAUAUCAGGAGGAACACCGGUGGCGAAGGCGGGUCUCCUGGGCGAUUUCCGUGACGCUGGAGGCGCGAAAGCGUGGGGAGCGAACAGG
rnacentral:rRNA from 1 species